AUGGGGGCUUGCAAGCAGAGUAUUGGUGUGGCCGCUUGGCUACGCAUGGUUGUGAGGAUUAUCGUGUUGCUCUAUGGCUGCAGACAGAAUAUUCUUUCUUUCGAGGAGGUGAUUUUCCAGAAAAGAUCUGCGAUUCAACAGGACUUCAGCAUCCUACUUACUGUGCAUUCAAGAGCCGUCAGUGUCUGGCAUACCACCUCAAUGGUGAGAAGGUGAUGAGACGUGGCUGCCUAAAAGAUAAGGCUUACAGAGUACUAAACAAGGAGGAAGGGGAAGAAGAAGUGCUGCUUUGGAGCCAGAAGUUCUUGACCUUUCCUGAGGGGUGAAUGAAUAAAAGAGCACCAAGGAGGACUGAGACA
rnacentral:lncRNA from 1 species